rnacentral:rRNA from 1 species
GACGAACGCUGGCGGCGUGCUUAACACAUGCAAGUCGAACGGUGAAGCGCCUUCCUUUUUGGUGAGUGUGGAUGAGUGGCGAACGGGAGAGUAACACGUGAGUAACCUGCCCCCUUCUUCUGGAUAACCGCAUGAAAGUGUGGCUAAUACGGGAUAUUCUGGGUCUGUCGCAUGAUGGGUCUGGGAAAGAUAUUGUUUCGGUGGGGGAUGGGCUCGCGGCCUAUCAGCUUGUUGGUGGGGUGAUGGCCUACCAAGGCGGUGACGGGUAGCCGGCCUGAGAGGGUGGACGGUCACACUGGGACUGAGACACGGCCCAGACUCCUACGGGAGGCAGCAGUGGGGAAUAUUGCACAAUGGGCGCAAGCCUGAUGCAGCGACGCCGCGUGAGGGAUGGAGGCCUUCGGGUUGUGAACCUCUUUCGCCAGUGAAGCAGGCCUGCCUCGUUUGUGGGUGGGUUGACGGUAGCUGGAUAAGAAGCGCCGGCUAACUACGUG